CUAGUACUCCCUCCGUCCCAAAUUAGUUGUCUUAAAUCUGUCUAGAUACUGAUGUAUCUAACACUAAAACUUAUUCAGAUACAUCCGCAUGUAAACAAAUCUAAGUCAACUAAUUCGGGAAGGGGGGUGUACAAC
rfam:Triticum aestivum genome assembly, contig: Triticum_aestivum_CS42_TGACv1_scaffold_557227_7AL